UGACACCACAUGGAAGUGCUCAACAUGUUCUGAAGUUAUCGCUGGCUACACUUGGAAUCUGACCUGAAGUUCAGCAAGAGCUAGAGCUGACUGAGAAUGUGGAACAGACAAGCACAAGUCAACAAUCAACCGAUGAACACUCCCUUCUAAGGUGUCAGGCACAAGUAUGGGAUCAAAGACGGCACCAAGUUUUGCAAACAUCUCACGCAAUCUAUACCUGCCCCAUGUCUCAAACUGGAAGAGAUAUAUUGAUGAUGUUUUCUUUGUCUGGAGAGGUACAGAGUCACUCCUAUAUCAACUCCAACAAAGGAGUAUGACAAGUUUAAAAUGAACUUUUUAGACAUUCUUGUGUGCAGAAACUCAGAUAAUCUCUCCACAAAUUUAUACUUAAAUUAUAUUUAAGAGCACAGACAGGAACUCCAUUCUCCAUGGCACCUCUUUCCAUCCAGCUUCACUCAAAAAAAAGUCUACCAAUUUUCCAGUUCAGUCAUAUACAACACAUUCGCAAUUCUAACUCAGACUUUCAAAGUCAAGCUGAUGAUCUGGAGAAACAAUUUAAACAAAGACAAUACAAACAAGAGUGGAUUGAGAGUGCCCGAAGUUGUUUCAGUGGCAUAACACUGGCUCAGUGCCUCCAGCGCACCAGAGUUAAUAAAACCGAAUCAAGGAUCCAGUGCAAACUUCAGUAUUAACCAGUCAGCAGAUUGUAAAUGGUAAAAAUCACAGAAAAACACUGGUACAUAAUACAAUCAGAUCCAACUUUGAAUGGCUUCACAUUGCCACCUCGAAUCAUCUAUAAAUCUCAGUCAAAUGCUGGUGAGGGCCCACCUGCCAUCAACCACUCGGGCCCACUUGCAGUUUCUCCCAGAGGGCAACUAUCGUUGUGGACACUGUACACAGUGUAACUUCACUCAUAAAACACAAAGGUUUAAUCAUCUCAGUACUGGGAAACCUUAUAAAAUCAAGAGUUAUUACCUGCAACACUAACAGUGUGAUCUAUAUGUUGAAAUAUCCAUGUGGGUUGGCAUACAUUGGUAAAACAACUAGACCAUUAAAAACAAGGAUUGCUGAACAUAGAUCCAACAUCCGUAACAACAAUAGCAGUGUACUUUACUGAAAAGCAACACAAUGUAAGGUCAUCCAGAUAUGUGGGAAUUGAACAAAUAAAACAACCCAGUCGAAGGAGAGAUGUGAAUUCCAUUUUUUUAAAAAGAGGCAUUCUGGAUUUACACUCUAGAGACUCUGGCUCCAAAAGGUCUCAAUGAAGAGUUUGACCUGAGACCGUCUUUGUGACGUUGACGUCAUCACUCCAGUCUGUGGCUAUAUGUGUGCCAAUAAUUAUAUUUUCAUGUCUGCAGUUCUGAUACAAAUAUUGUGGUCUUCUGUGCUUUUAUUUGUAUAUAAAGUGUAAAUAGUUAAUAUAAAUAGUAAAUAUUUUUGGCUGUGUUAAACCUAUACACCACUUUAAAACAGAGUGAACACCUGUUUUGUACUAAAAAUUCCAUUCAACAAUUGUAAUUUAAAAAAAAAAAAUGUGUUGGGAUUGAGUAGGCCUGAGUUUAUAUGUAACAGCUGCAAAACGUAACCUUUCAUGUCUGAAGAAGGGCUUGACCCAAAACAUUUUGUAACGUCAUUGAAAUAAAAAUGUGGGAGCUUUAAAGAACUGCAGUGCAGCUCUUUCUUUUUUUGCACAAUUUUUGUCUUUAGACCCAAC